rnacentral:lncRNA from 1 species
AAAUAUUAAUCUUAAUUAUUAUAUAGGCAUUGUGUUGGAUGGGUGUUUAUGGUGGUGAAUGAAAUAAAUAUCUUCUCUUGUAACUUGUUUUAAAUGAUAAUAUGAAAUAUAAUUAUUAUUUUUAGAUACUAGUUUAUGUUUUUUAAAUGAAUUUGUGUAAUUUAUACUUAAAUUUGAGAAUUUGUGUUGAAUUGAUGUGUAAAUUUUAAUUUUUCAUUUACAUUGUUUAAAUAUAAAAUUGAGUAUGUUAUAUGAAAUUUGAGAUUAUUAUUAUAAAUUUAUAUAUUAAACAUUUGUGAUUUUAAAUACGAAAACCCGCAAAAAAUCCACCGAAUACCAUUACGGGUUUGGUAAUUGUUAAAACCCGUUGCGGGUGGGUUUUUAUAAAAAAAUUAAAAUUCAUUAUGGGUUGCAGAUGAAUUUGGUAACUUAAAUUUUAUGCGAAUUUAAGUUUGGUAAAGACAAACCCACUGCGAGCGGUACCUAUUGCCAUCCCUAUGCCUGCCAAUGAACACACAGUCGCACACGCAAAAACGGAAAGUUCUGGAAACCCACAAAAUUCACGAUCAUUUCAUACUGUCCACAUGUCCACAUCCGAUUAUUCAAAUUCAAAAUUCGAAAAUUAAAAAAGCCCGUGCCCUUGCACGUCUCCACGCGUCCUCCUCCUAAUGGUCGAACCACCGCAUCCCACGUGGGCUGUCUGUGGGCGCUUAUAAAAAUCUUUGUAGCGGGAUCAACUGCACCAUUACUGAUCCCUAAUUAUCAAUCCCACCAUUAAACAUUCGCCUCUUCAAUGAACUCAUCAUACACAAAGUUCCACCGACCCCCACUCUCACGUAAAUUAAUAAAUUAUUAACACGCGUCAACGAAUCGUCCGACCCACGUUAAAAGUUCUCGAGAAUUUACAAAAUAAUCACACCAAGAUUUCGUUCAAUUUAUAUAAAAUUUUCUCAUUUAUUGCAGCUACAAAAAGGCAUUUUUUGAACAAUAAUUUUUGUUAAUAACAUAACACGACUGAAAUCAAAAAUUUCCUCCACCAAAUUUGAGUGCAAAUGGAUCUCCAAACUUAGCAGUAAGAGAUUUUUAUCAAUUAAAUUAUUCAAUCCUUAAAUAAUACAAUGUUCUUAUUAUAUGUCCUAUCAAUUAAAGUAGAUAGUUAUCAAGUUUAUCACAGACUGCGAUAUUAUAAUUCGCUGCUGUUUCCGUAAUUUUACUUUGCUCAAAUUUUUCCCAAUCCCAAAGAAUCAAUUAUUUCCUCGGCGUAAGUCACACUCGUGAACCGACACGACGUCGCUUCGCCGUUCGAUACCCUAAACGGUCGCGUGAAAUUAUAAUUAACUGGGACCCACAAAUAAACAUAGCUGUCAAUAAACCAAUAGACAGACUGGAAAAAUCCGGGCCGCUGCCCAAUCAAUUGCCACGCUGCCCGAAAUUCACUCUUCCCGUCCACACUUUUCAGUCUAUAAAUAAACCUCACUAUUUUCCUUUCAUGUCUUAAAUAUUAACACUUCCCACAUACAGACAAGAGGAAAAAGAAACUCUCUCAGCUUCCUUCGGUUACGCUCUCAAAAACCCUGAGAAAAAAGGCUUCAAUAAUGGCAUUCUCAAAGGCUUCAAUGGCUACGCUGAUGAUGGCCGUUGUCCUGGCCGCCUUGGCUCUCGCAGGGUCGGCUCAAGAUCUCUCUCCCGCUCCAGCUCCCGCUUCCGGAGCCGGCUCGAUCUCGCCUUCCUUCGCCGCCGCUGGUGUCGCUCUCCUUUCCGCUCUGGUGUUCGGCUCAGUUCUCAGGGUUUAAGAGGCCGGUUCUCUAUCUGAUUACGUGUCACUAGCUUAUUGGGCGUGUAGAGUGGUUUCUUCAUAUUUUUUUCUUCUUUUUUUGCGUUGUUUAGACGUUAUGUGGGCUCAGUAGCGGCGGAUCCACUGGGUUUUAGUCUUUUAGGGAGUGAGUCUUAUUACAUAUAAAUUUUAUAAUGAGAGAGAGUUAUCAGUUAUGCUUUGUAGCUCACGGAGAUGUGAUGAUAUGAUUUGAUUUAUGUUUGUUAUUUUGGAGACUUAUGAUUAUUAUCAGUAUAUAUUAAGCUAUUCCUUUUGUUGUUAUGUUAUAGAUCCUUCACUAUCCGCUUUUCUUUUAAUUUUUUACGUAAAAUCAAUUUAAUUUUAUUUCACUCGAAUCGCGUUCGCCGGACGACAGAAGAGGAAAUGCAUUUCCCACAAGAAUCGAAGAAAAGUAAAAGUAAUGCACUUGCAAACAGUAAUUCGUAUUUUCCCUAAACAAAAAAGUCCCAAGUGGCAAGGCAUAGCUGACACGUGUACUCAUUGGCUUCUGCACUCCCAUUCCCAUGUGCAAUUGUGCAAAAGGACAAAUGAGUGAGAGAAUUGGAGGAGAAGGGGAAUCUGUGCCCUUCACAUGAUCAACGGGAACACAUUUUUUUUUUUUUUUUGGCCUUUUUAAAUUAUUCCAAGUCUAAGUCAUCGGGUCUGUGGCACCUUCGUGAAAACAGAAAACAACAGGGGGAUCAAAUGUGCAAUGAUUCAAUUUGUUGGUUUAUAGGGGUAUAUCAUUACACUUGGCGAUGCCUUGGAAGAAGUCGCCAGGAUGAUGAUUUUUUAAAAGUUUAUGUUGUACAAGGCAGUCUUUGCGAAAUUGGCUCAUUCGGCCCAACUAUCCUUUUGUAAUCAAUGGCUAAGCGUGAUUUGGAACGUAUUUAUUUGACCGGUGAGCUGAGGUUAUUCUCCCUUUUCAUUCGCCCCCACCCAACCCCCCCACCUGGAGUUCACCAACAUUUGCUUAGCUUGUACGAAUAUUAUAGUUGGUUUGUGGACCCUACCACGUAAUUGUUGAUUCGCGUUUGCUUUGCCCUACAUAAUUAUACUAAAUCAAUAAUUCUAGAAAUAUAAACUCUUUAACAAGCAUUACUUAGUGCCUGUUUGGUAUGGCUUAUUUAAGAGCCAUAAGUGCUUAUUUAAUCGUAUAAGCGCUUUUUAAAAUUUUUUAUGGUGUUUGGUUAUUUUUUUAGUAGAGUUUUUUUAGCUUAAAUAAGUGAAUUUACCUCUACUAACAAAAGCCCAAAAUUUGAGCUUUUGGGAGUAGAGGUUAUAGAGCUUUUCUAAAAAUAUCUAAUAUAAAAAAUAUCACACAAUUUAAUGGUUCAAAAGUACUUUUUUUAUUGACAACCAAACACCCAAUGACUUUUUGUCCAAAAGCUCUAUUGGUAUAAGCUCUAGUGCUAUAAGCUCUACUGUUAUAAGCUCUAUUUAAUAAGCUGUACCAAACGGAGCCUUAUUCCAUUAAUGCAGUUUGAGAUGACAUUUUAUAUUAGGUUAUUGUUAUGUUGGAAUUCACAUACGGUAAAGUAUGAAUUUUAAUCACACG